AGAGUUUGAUCCUGGCUCAGGACGAACGCUGGCGGCGUGCCUAAUACAUGCAAGUCGAGCGGACAGAUGGGAGCUUGCUCCCUGAUGUUAGCGGCGGACGGGUGAGUAACACGUGGGUAACCUGCCUGUAAGACUGGGAUAACUCCGGGAAACCGGGGCUAAUACCGGAUGGUUGUUUGAACCGCAUGGUUCAAACAUAAAAGGUGGCUUCGGCUACCACUUACAGAUGGACCCGCGGCGCAUUAGCUAGUUGGUGAGGUAACGGCUCACCAAGGCGACGAUGCGUAGCCGACCUGAGAGGGUGAUCGGCCACACUGGGACUGAGACACGGCCCAGACUCCCACGGGAGGCAGCAGUAGGGAAUCUUCCGCAAUGGACGAAAGUCUGACGGAGCAACGCCGCGUGAGUGAUGAAGGUUUUCGGAUCGUAAAGCUCUGUUGUUAGGGAAGAACAAGUGCCGUUCGAAUAGGGCGGUACCUUGACGGUACCUAACCAGAAAGCCACGGCUAACUACGUGCCAGCAGCCGCGGUAAUACGUAGGUGGCAAGCGUUGUCCGGAAUUAUUGGGCGUAAAGGGCUCGCAGGCGGUUUCUUAAGUCUGAUGUGAAAGCCCCCGGCUCAACCGGGGAGGGUCAUUGGAAACUGGGGAACUUGAGUGCAGAAGAGGAGAGUGGAAUUCCACGUGUAGCGGUGAAAUGCGUAGAGAUGUGGAGGAACACCAGUGGCGAAGGCGACUCUCUGGUCUGUAACUGACGCUGAGGAGCGAAAGCGUGGGGAGCGAACAGGAUUAGAUACCCUGGUAGUCCACGCCGUAAACGAUGAGUGCUAAGUGUUAGGGGGUUUCCGCCCCUUAGUGCUGCAGCUAACGCAUUAAGCACUCCGCCUGGGGAGUACGGUCGCAAGACUGAAACUCAAAGGAAUUGACGGGGGCCCGCACAAGCGGUGGAGCAUGUGGUUUAAUUCGAAGCAACGCGAAGAACCUUACCAGGUCUUGACAUCCUCUGACAAUCCUAGAGAUAGGACGUCCCCUUCGGGGGCAGAGUGACAGGUGGUGCAUGGUUGUCGUCAGCUCGUGUCGUGAGAUGUUGGGUUAAGUCCCGCAACGAGCGCAACCCUUGAUCUUAGUUGCCAGCAUUCAGUUGGGCACUCUAAGGUGACUGCCGGUGACAAACCGGAGGAAGGUGGGGAUGACGUCAAAUCAUCAUGCCCCUUAUGACCUGGGCUACACACGUGCUACAAUGGACAGAACAAAGGGCAGCGAAACCGCGAGGUUAAGCCAAUCCCACAAAUCUGUUCUCAGUUCGGAUCGCAGUCUGCAACUCGACUGCGUGAAGCUGGAAUCGCUAGUAAUCGCGGAUCAGCAUGCCGCGGUGAAUACGUUCCCGGGCCUUGUACACACCGCCCGUCACACCACGAGAGUUUGUAACACCCGAAGUCGGUGAGGUAACCUUUUAGGAGCCAGCCGCCGAAGGUGGGACAGAUGAUUGGGGUGAAGUCGGAACAAGGUAGCCGUAUCGGAA
rnacentral:rRNA from 1 species